CACGCAACCUGUAUGUGGUCUGUUAUCUAGAAACAUGAUUUGAACAAAGCCAUUUUACCAGCAUUGAAUGUAGAAGCAGACGUUGGUUCGGUAUGUAUGUAUGUAUGUAUGUCGCAUACAAAUGUUGAUUUUUGUCAAGCGAAUGAGAAAGAGAGAGAGCAGAGUAUACAUGUUAUAGACAUAAUAUGUGGUGCGACUCGAGCUUCACUGCGACCGUCAGGCAAAUCUUACCAGCAUUGAAUACAGAAACAGACAUUGAUUGGGUAUGUAUGUUUGUAUAUAUAUAUAUGUAUAUGUAUGUAUAUAUAUGUAUGUAUAUAUGUAUGUAUAUCGUAUUCAAAUGUUGAUUUUUUUCAAACGAAGGGGGAAGAGAGAACAAAGUAUACACGUUAUAUACUGAAUAUAUGGUGCGACUCGAGUUUCACACCACUGCGAUCGUCAGGCAAAUCAUACCAGCGUUGAAUAUAGAAACAGACGUUGAUUAUGUAUGUUUGUAUGUAUGUAUGUAUGUAUGCAUAUCGUAUCCAAAUGUUGAUUUUUGUCAAACAAAGGAGGAAGAGAGAAGAAAGUAUACGUGUUAUAGAAUGAAUAUUUGGUGCGAUUCGAGUUUCACUCCACUGCGAUCGUCAGACAAAAAGUUUAUCUGACGAUCGUAUUGGCAUGAAAUACAUACACGCGUAGACACGCAUACACCCUCGUAUUUGUUAGACUUAACAAAUAAUAGGAAAAAUACUCAGUACAGAUGUAGUCUGCUAUUAUUAGCAAUUGCGCUAAAAUAUUAUAGUGCUAAAACUAUUUUGAAUUUUACUUCGCAAAAGAUUAGCAGCGUAAUUGUUUACAUAACCGAUGAUUUGGAAGUGCACAGCAUUACUUAUAACAAAGAUAAUAAGUGUAAUGGUUUAACAGAAGUGGAAACAAAUGUAUAAACCACAAUCAGAAAAAAGAUGAUGAAAAUUAAAAUGUGCGCAUAUGUGUAUAUAAUAUAUAAAAUAUGUAUACAUAGGCGCAGGAGUGGCUGUGUGGUAAGUAGCUUGUUUACCAACCACAUGGUUCCGGGUUCAGUCCCACUGCGUGGCACCUUGGGCAAGUGUCUUCUACUAUUGCCUCGGGCCAACCAAAGCCUUGUGAGUGGAUUUGGUAGACGGAAACUGAAAAGAAGCCCGUCGAUUAAAGGUGGUGCUCCAGCAUGGCCGCAGUCAAAUGACUGAAACAAGUAAAAGAGUAAAAGAGUAAAAGAGAGUAUAAGUACGUACACAAACAUACACGCACAAACACACAUAUAUGCAUGCAUAUGUGUAUACACACGUCUAUAUAUAGAUAAGCGUAUAUAUGUAUAAAGAUGUUUAUUAUGUAUAUCCUUAUACACACACACACACACACACACAUCGUUUAUCUUUUAAGUUUAUUUGUUUCAGUUAUUUGAGUGCAGCAAUGCUGGGCCAUCGCCUUGACGGAUUUUAGUCGAACAAAUCGAUCCAAGAACUUACUUUUAAAAAGCCUAGUAUUUAUUCUAUCGAUGAAUUAUGCCGGAACGCUAAGUUGCGGGGGUGCAAAGAAACCAACACCGGUUGUCAAGCAAAGGCGCAUAUUCACACACGUACACACACAGACACAGACACACAGACACAGACACACAUACACAGACACACAGACACAGACAUACAGACACACACACAGACACAUACACACACAGACAGACACACACACAUACACACACACAUAUACACACACACACACACAUAUAUAUACGUCGUGCUUCUUACAGUUCCGCUUACCAAAUCCACUCAAGGCUUUCGUCGGCCAGGGGCUAUAGUAGAAGAAACCUGCUCAAGAUGUCACGUACUGGGACUGAACCCUGAACCCCGAACAGUGUGGUUGUUCCAGUUUCAGUCGGAACAACAACAUUGCUCUGUGUUCAGUCCUACACAGUCACACCAUAACUACAUAUAUAGAAUAUGUAUGUAUAUGUCAGGAAUUUAUAGGGGCAUUGUCGUGAUUUAAGGCGUAUAUUAAAGCAUUGUUUGUUCCUUCUCGAGCCACUCCUCGCUCAUAAGGGCCGGUUUCCCGGUUUCCUUGGCGUAUAGGUUCCCCACCUGGACGGGACGCCGGUUCGUCGCAGGUGAGCUGCAAGAUGCAGGAGGAAAGAGUGAGAGAAAGUUGUGGCGAAAGAGUCAGCAGAAGUUCGCCAUCACCUUCUACCGGAGCCGCGUGGAGCUUAGGUGUUUCGCUCAUAAGCACACACAUCGCCAGGUCUGAGAUUCGAACCUGCGAUCCCUCGACCGAGAGUCCGCUGCUCUAACCACUAAGCCAUAUGCCUCCACAUCUCAAAGCGUAAUUUUCCCCAAACGCAAGAAAGUUGAGCUCUUGACUACUUUUUUCAACUCACUCUCAUAUACAAAAGGGAUACAUUUUCAAUAAUCCACAUUUCACGAUAAAUCCCUGAAGACUUUGAGAGCGCUCAAUAAAUAGCAUUUAUCCAAAUCCUGAUUACUUCCUUCUUUUAUUAAGAUAUAAAAUCUACAAACAAUGUAUUCAUGCAAAUAAUCUAUACAUACGUGUAUAGACGUGUGCGUGUGUGCAUGUGUACGUGUGUGGAUGAUGGUGUAAGUGCUAGGAAGUGGUCAGUGCUAGUGUGUGCGGAGUGGUGUGAUGUGGUGGUGGUGGUGUGGUGGUGUUGGGGUGUGGGGGAGGCGAGAGUGGGGGAAGCAAGGGUGGAGUCUAAGGGAUGGGGUGGGGGUUGGGAUGUAGAGGCAUGGUGGGGUUGGAAUGUGUAGAGUGGGUAACGAGGGAGGGGGUGACGAUGAAGGGAGAGGGUGGAAGAGAGAAGGUGGGUAGGAGCGAAGAGCGGAAGUAGAUGCCAGAGCAAGAGAAGAGAGGUGGGUGGGAGGAAGUAGAUGGGGGAGGAAGAGAGGAGAGAGGAGGAGGGUUAGAUGAAGAGGGGAGGAGAGUUGAGCCCAUGUAGCGCAAAGGAGCGAAGAGAGAAGAUUAAUCCCUGCUCACAGCGAGGACGGGAGUCCGGAUGGCCCCUGUGCAAGGACAAUCCAAACACAGACAGGUGUUGUAAAGAGUGACCGGUAGAGCGGAAAUGGCGCGAGACCGGGGUGUCGUUGCCGAGUCUGAUGUCUCGGAGGUGUUCCGAGAACCGGUCAGCCAAGCGGCGUCAACUUUGACCGAUGUAUAGAGAAGGACGAGAGUGCAGGAGAUGCAGUAGAUGACGUUGCUAGAAGUGCAGGUGAAGGAGUCAGUGAUAUGAUAGGGUCGAUGAUGGUUGCUUUGAGGAGGGUGGUGUUGGAGAGGUAAGGGCAAGUGCGGCAGCGUGGGUGGGAGCAGGGGAACGAGCCGGCUUAGGAGGUUGGGUUAGGAAAGAAGCUGUGGGCCAAGGUCUCGUAGGUUGUGAGCUCAUUUGAAGGAGGGGAGGGGUCGGUUAGGGAAUAUGUGCGAAGUCGGGGGGUCGGACUGGUGUCGCCAGAAGACUCGGAGAAUUGUGCGUUGGAGAGGUAAGGUGGUGGGGUGGUAGGUGAGGGGAAACGGGAGACAGAUGACGGCGGGGCGGGUUCGUGAGGAGAGAGUAGAUGCACGGUCCACGGAAGUGCUCUGCAAGGGCGGUGUGGAUAGUGGUGAGGGGAUAUCCACGUAGGAUGAAGUGGUGAGCCAUGAGUUGAGACUGAAUCUCAAAGUCAUGGUUGUCACUGCAGAGCCUGCGAAGACGGAGGAAUUGGGAAUAGGGGAUGGAGAGCCUGAUGUGUUUAGGGUGGAAGGAGGAGAAGUUGAAGUAUGAAUGUGAGUAUGUGUGUUUGUAGUGGAUGGAAGUGGUGAGAGUGGAGUGAUGAAUACUGACCGAAAUGUCGAGAAAGGCGACGGAGGUGUCGGAAAUAGUGCAGGGCAGGAUGGAAAGAUUUGACAAAAGAGAGGAAGGAGUCUGUUCGCGGGAAAGUGAGGUCGCACCGAUACAGUCGUAAUAUAAAGACCGUAUAGUUUAGGAUUGGGACCAGUGAAACUUGAGAAUAUUUGGGUCUCAACGUAGCCAACGGAAAGGUUCGCAUAGUUGGGGCCCAUUCUCGUUCCCAUGGCUACUCCAGAGAGUUGUUGGUAAAAAUCAUCCGCGAACGAGAAGCAGUUAAGUGAGAGGACAAGUUCGGCCAGAUAUAUAUGUACAUAUAUGCGUGUGUGGUGUGUGUGCGCCCCUGUAUGUGUGUGUGGUGUGUGUGCGCCCCUGUAUGUGUGUGUGGUGUGUGUGCGCCCCUGUAUGUGUGUGUGGUGUGUGUGCGCCCCUGUAUGUGUGUGUGGUGUGUGUGCGCCCCUGUAUGUGUGUGUGGUGUGUGUGCGCCCCUGUAUGUGUGUGUGGUGUGUGUGCGCCCCUGUAUGUGUGUGUGGUGUGUGUGCGCCCCUGUAUGUGUGUGUGGUGUGUGUGCGCCCCUGUAUGUGUGUGUGGUGUGUGUGCGCCCCUGUAUGUGUGUGUGGUGUGUGUGUGCGCCCCUGUAUGUGUGUGUGGUGUGUGUGCGCCCCUGUAUGUGUGUGUGGUGUGUGUGCGCCCCUGUAUGUGUGUGUGGUGUGUGUGCGCCCCUGUAUGUGUGUGUGGUGUGUGUGCGCCCCUGUAUGUGUGUGUGGUGUGUGUGCGCCCCUGUAUGUGUGUGUUCUGUAGACAAUCAUGAAACUCCUUCUGCUCACCUUAAUUCGUUUUAUGGAGGUAAUUUUUCAGUAAGCAAUAAUAAUUUAAAACAAAUGGAGACGGUAAUAGCUUUGGCAGCCAUUGAAAUUUAGAACAAAUGAAUAAAUAAAUAAAAUGCAUAAAUAAAUAAAUGAUAAUUCACCGUCUGCGAAAAAAGAUAAAAUUAAGCACUGAAUGACAAAUGUGAGUGAUGUAUAUAAAAAAAAAAAUUACCUGAAAAUAACAUAUCGAUUCGUCAGAUAAAUUCGUUCGCUUGUUUCUUACGCUAUAUGAAUAAUGAAAAACAUUUUUAGUGCAGUUUUUUUCUAUGUUUUUCUUUUGUAGUUCUGUACUUCCUCUGUAACUAUUUCUUAUUGCUUUUGAAAUUUGAAUGAAGUUUUACCUUUUACAGACAUUUGACAAUGGAAAGCCUAUUAGAAAAUAAGAAAAAAAGAAGCCUUUUCGACACCUGCUUCUCCUCACUUCUAAUCGUGGUUUCCAAAGCUAUCAAUGCCGCUCGAAACAUUAAUGCUGCUCAGAGAAGGCUCUAUUACACUGUGUAAC
rnacentral:lncRNA from 1 species